UUUGACAGUAUUCCAUAGUAUAACAACUAUUGUCAUCAAUAUGAAUACUGUACAACUUUGUCUGGUUCUGGUUUGUCUUGUUGCUGUUGGACCUGUUUGGAUAUCUGCACGAUCGAGAAACAGUUUAUGUCCAGCUCCAUUAGAUCCAACUGUAGUAUUUUGUGCUGCAGUAGAAGAUGUUUGUCAGACUGAUGCUAAUUGUUCUGCUGAUGAAAUAUGUUGUGAUGAUGCAUGCGGUAAAUACUGUCGAACACCAUUAAGCUUCGAUGAAUGGAUCCGUGAGCAAUAUCCAAAAUAUUUUUAUUAAGAUGUC